rnacentral:tRNA from 2 species
CGGGGAGUGGCGCAGUCUGGUAGCGCACGCGGUUUGGGACCGCGGGGUCGCAGGUUCAAAUCCUGUCUCCCCGACCA